rnacentral:rRNA from 1 species
UACGUAGGGCGCAAGCGUUGUCCGGAAUUAUUGGGCGUAAAGAGCUCGUAGGCGGUCUGUCGCGUCUGUUGUGAAAACUCGAGGCUCAACCUCGGGCUUGCAGUGGAUACGGGCAGACUAGAGUGCGGUAGGGGAGACUGGAAUUCCUGGUGUAGCGGUGAAAUGCGCAGAUAUCAGGAGGAACACCGGUGGCGAAGGCGGGUCUCUGGGCCGAUACUGACGCUGAGGAGCGAAAGCGUGGGGAGCGAACCGG